CGGCCCACUCCCCCUCUCUUUCCCAAUCCACCUCUCUGCCCCCCUCCCCCUCUGUGUCGCAAACCACCUCUCCACCACCCUCCCACUCUCUUUCCCAAGUUAUCUCUCUGUCCCCCUCCCCCUCUGUGGCCCAACCCCCCUCUCCACCACCCUCACCCUCUCAAUAUGACCCACCCUCGGUAAGCUCCUCCCCCUUCCAUCCUCUCUCCCAAAUCGACCCUCCUUCCCCCAUCCUGCCUCCUUCCCCCAUCCAGCCGCCAUCCCCCAUCCAUCCAACAUCCCCCAUCCAGCCUACAUCCCCUAGCCAGCCAACAUCCCCCAUCCAGCCUAAAUCCCCCAGCCAGCCCACAUAUUCGCCAUCGGAAUGGGCAGCAGAGGCCCCGGAGCCACUUGGGAGCUGGGCAAGUGGCAGAGGAGAAUGUGGCAGUUGGAGAUCCCAGCAGUUUGCCAGAGAUUGUUUCCCGCCUUAAAGGCAAUCUGAGGGCCGUCAUAGCGGACUUAGAACUUUUAGAAACAUUUUUCUAAUUUUUUUUAUUUUGCAAAUAUCUACUAUAUAUUAGCCCAACUCUGUGAUUCUGUGCCUGGCCGUAACGCUGGGUGGAGUCACAGGGCUGGGCGGAGUCACCUGCUUCUGCCGUGUCCCAGCACAACACUCCCUACACAUAGCCAGGUGGACAGCGCCAGCAGUAUCAGCCACACAAACCGGCCACCAUCAGAGGGAAACACCCCACCGAGCACGGUACCACAUACACACCCACACCCCACCCUUGGUUUCCCCCGCAACACACAACGCACCGAAUCCUCCUUCCCCAACACCUGGGCACUAGCUCCCACAUACAGCCACUGGCGCAACACACUGGCCGGGAACCCACUAACCCCUGCACCACCAAAACCUACCUCGACAACCCCCCGUCCCCAGCUCCCACCUCCAGCCACUCACGGGCAGCGCUGGACGGGAGCCGCCUGACACUUGCAACCCCAACAGCCUGCCUCCGCAACCACCCCGUCCCCAGCUCCCACCUCCAGCCACUCACGGGCAGCGCUGGACGGGAGCCGCCUGACACUCACAACCCUGACAGCCUGCCUCCGCAACCACCCUGUCCCCAGCUCCCACCUCCAGCCACCGUCCCCAGCUCCCACCUCCAGCCACUCACGGCCAGCAGUAGACGGGAGCCGCCUGACACUCGCACCCCGACAGCCUGCCUCCGCAACCACCCCGUCCCCUGCUCCCACCUCCAGCCACUCACGGGCAGCACUGGACGGGAGCCGCCUGACACCUGCACCCCGACAGCCUGCCUCCGCAACCACCCCGUCCCCAGCUCCCACCUCCAGCCACUCACGGCCAGCAGUGGACGGGAGCCGCCUGACACCCGCACCCCGACAGCCUGCCUCCGCAACCACCCCGUCCUCAGCUCCCACCUCCAGCCACUCACGGGCAGCACUGGACGGGAGCCGCCUGACACCCGCACCCCGCAAACCUGCCUCCGCAACCCCCUCCCCAGCUUCCACAUGUACACGCUGCCCAGGAGCCGCCGGCACACGCUGCUCUGGAACUAAGCCACACGUACAUGCCGCCCACCAUCACCCCGACUACACGCCGCACCUGCCUCUCUACCAGCCUCCGCUGUCUGCUGCCCCCAGACCCCUCUAAUGCAUGUGGCUUACCCUACCUACCACCACCCCCACCCCACGGACACCAAACAUCCCCCAAUCUAACACUGCUACCACUUCUACCUCACACACACACACACACACAGACACACACUCCCACCUCUUCCCCCUCCCCCCUUCUCCCCCUUCCCCCCCCUUCUUCCCCCUCCCUCCUCACACAAAACACCUUGCCCAUCUGGACUACACCACCACCCAAGAACAACCACUCCUGCACCAAUUAGGGUCAACCCAACACAAAACACACCCAACACUACUUUUAACACACAUACCCACAACCACCUUUCCAAAACCCCCGCACACACCCCAAGACCAUCACCCACCCCCAAUAACACCAUACCGGCCAACCACCCUCCACAAAUACAACACCCCUCAAAUACCCCCUGCACCCCAGCACAACCGUAACCAUCUGACUAAUCCAGACCCCCCCCUCCCCUUCCGUCUCCUCCCCUCCCCUUCCCCUGCACACAUCACAAACCCACCAAAACACUCCACCAUGUACCCACCCAUCUUAUGUGCACCUCCUCCACGCAUGCAAACUUCAAACCCCCUCCCCCAUCCACCUCCCACCCACAUCUUCAUCCCACACUGCACCUCCGGUCACCACCACCAUCCCUUCCCACUACGCAACAACAUAUACAGGCAGCAAAGCCACUCCACACACUUGACCAAGCACCAUAAAUCACAGAACACCACACGCCUAACUAGCCACCCCUUACAAGUAACAGUCCACCACGCACCUUCCCUUCAUAACCCUCCAAAAAACAACCAAACACCACCCUAACCCUAUCGCACACCCACCUCCCUCCCUCUGCAACCAACUAAUUCGCCCAAACCAUCAAAACACCAAUGCCCCGACAACACUACCGCCAUAUCCUAAAGGCACUAAUUCCCUAAUUCCACCAGCAACAACAAAAAAUUACACAACCAGCAGUACUUUUCACAAACACCCCCACACCCCCGCAACCACCUGUACAACACCCCCCACACACCACAACCCCAUCCCACAACCCCAUAUCUCCCACACACCCUCCACAACUACAACACCCAUCCAAGACCCCCUGCACCAAAGCACAAGCUUAGCCAUCUGACAAAUCACACCUCUGAACAAAAACCUCACCCACCCACAACUUCAACACACUACACCCCCCCCACUACAAUUAAACCACCACACCUCACAAACACAUCCAUCUACCACCCAAGCACAAUACCGAACACACCCCUUCCAUAAAUACAUCCCACCUUGCACCUCAACACAGCCUUCCACAUCCCCCUAGCCUACUCACCCCCCAUCCUCCCAUGCACACACCACACGACCCUACACACCUCACCCUAUCCAGACAACCCUGCGCCAUGGCACCUUUACACACCCUACCCCUUAUCCACACACCUACAACUCCGCCAAGUGCAGUACCUCAGGCCCCCUCCACCAACCUCACCCCUAGCCUAAAGUAUACAGUGACCGGACCACAUCCACCGUCCAGCCUUACUGUGGUCAGCCACCAACCACAGCUUCUUACGGACAGACAGCCGUAUCCAUGUACCCCUUCACACAAAACACUCCACUAACCACAGUCCCUUCACCCCCCUCCACAAUGUUCAGCAAAGCCGCCCUAAACCUAUUACAUCCAACCUUUCAACCUACCCUUAACCCACAUACACCCCCACCCACAGCCUACACCCCCAUCAAGUCCACCCUGCACU